GAUGAACGCUGGCGGCGUGCUUAACACAUGCAAGUCGAACGAUGAAGCUGGAGCUUGCUCCGGUGGAUUAGUGGCGAACGGGUGAGUAACACGUGAGCAAUCUGCCCUUGACUCUGGGAUAACUGCGGGAAACUGUAGCUAAUACCGGAUGCUUUCACUGGAAGGCAUCUUCUGGUGAAGAAAGAAUUUCGGUCAAGGAUGAGCUCGCGGCCUAUCAGCUUGUUGGUGAGGUAACGGCUCACCAAGGCGACGACGGGUAGCCGGCCUGAGAGGGUGACCGGCCACACUGGGACUGAGACACGGACCAGACUCCUACGGGAGGCAGCAGUGGGGAAUAUUGCACAAUGGGCGCAAGCCUGAUGCAGCAACGCCGCGUGAGGGAUGAAGGCCUUCGGGUUGUAAACCUCUUUUAGCAGGGAAGAAGCGAAAGUGACGGUACCUGCAGAAAAAGCACCGGCUAACUACGUGCCAGCAGCCGCCGUAA
rnacentral:rRNA from 1 species